AUGGAAGGGGAUUCAAGCAUACAUCAACAUAAAGAAAAUCCAAAAACAAUAAAGCAAGCUAUGGAAGUACCACAAUCGGGUCAAUCUACUAGUUUUAACACUCUAGGUAACGUGACUAUUUCUUUUCUACUUCCUUCCCUUCUUCUUCUACUACUACUACUACUCUCUCUGAAUUUCUCCGCGUGUUGCUAUGUGUUGGUGCUAGUAUGA